rnacentral:rRNA from 1 species
UGCCAGACUCCUACGGGAGGCAGCAGUGGGGAAUAUUGGACAAUGGGGGGAACCCUGAUCCAGCGACGCCGCGUGAGUGAAGAAGUAUUUCGGUAUGUAAAGCUCUAUCAGCAGGGAAGAAAAUGACGGUACCUGACUAAGAAGCCCCGGCUAACUACGUGCCAGCAGCCGCGGUAAUACGUAGGGGGCAAGCGUUAUCCGGAUUUACUGGGUGUAAAGGGAGCGUAGACGGUGCAGCAAGUCUGAAGUGAAAUGCCGGGGCUUAACCCCAGAACUGCUUUGGAAACUGUGCAGCUAGAGUGCAGGAGAGGUAAGUGGAAUUCCUAGUGUAGCGGUGAAAUGCGUAGAUAUUAGGAGGAACACCAGUGGCGAAGGCGGCUUACUGGACUGUAACUGACGUUGAGGCUCGAAAGCGUGGGGAGCAAACAGGAUUAGAUACCCGCGUAC